rnacentral:rRNA from 1 species
CCUACGGGAGGCUGCAGUGGGGAAUAUUGGACAAUGGGGGCAACCCUGAUCCAGCCAUGCCGCGUGUGUGAAGAAGGCCCUCGGGUUGUAAAGCACUUUCAGUGAGGAAGAACGCCUGGUGGUUAAUACCCAUCAGGAAAGACAUCACUCACAGAAGAAGCACCGGCUAACUCCGUGCCAGCAGCCGCGGUAAUACGGAGGGUGCGAGCGUUAAUCGGAAUUACUGGGCGUAAAGCGCGCGUAGGUGGCUUGAUAAGCCGGUUGUGAAAGCCCCGGGCUCAACCUGGGAACGGCAUCCGGAACUGUCAAGCUAGAGUGCAGGAGAGGAAGGUAGAAUUCCCGGUGUAGCGGUGAAAUGCGUAGUGAUCGGGAGGAAUACCAGUGGCGAAGGCGGCCUUCUGGACUGACACUGACACUGAGGUGCGAAAGCGUGGGUAGCAAACAGGAUUAGAUACCCGAGUAGUC